GGGUCAGUAGGUUGGUCGUGCCACCGGUACGUACUGGUCUCACUGAUUCCUCCUUCCUGAAUAACCGUAAUGCCAUUAAUUUGGUGUUGCGGGGAAACAGGACUGUUACUUUGAAAAGAUUAGAGUGUUUAACGCAAGCUAACGCUUGAAUACAUUAGCAUGGAAUAAUGAAAUAGGACGAUCGAUCCUAUUUUGUUGGUUUCUAGGAUUGACGUA
rnacentral:rRNA from 1 species